rnacentral:rRNA from 1 species
UACAGAGGUCUCAAGCGUUGUUCGGAUUCAUUGGGCGUAAAGGGUGCGUAGGUGGCGCCGUAAGUCAGGUGUGAAAUUUCGGAGCUUAACUCCGAAACUGCAUUUGAUACUGCGGUGCUUGAGGACUUGGAGAGGACGACGUGGAAUUUACGGUGUAGCAGUGAAAUGCGUAGAGAUCGUAAGGAAGACCAGUGGCGAAGGCGGGUCUCGUGGACAGUUCCUGACACUGAGGC